UCAGGCCUAACACAUGCAAGUCGAGCGGUAGAGAGAAGCUUGCUUCUCUUGAGAGCGGCGGACGGGUGAGUAAUGCCUAGGAAUCUGCCUGGUAGUGGGGGAUAACGUUCGGAAACGGACGCUAAUACCGCAUACGUCCUACGGGAGAAAGCAGGGGACCUUCGGGCCUUGCGCUAUCAGAUGAGCCUAGGUCGGAUUAGCUAGUUGGUGGGGUAAAGGCUCACCAAGGCGACGAUCCGUAACUGGUCUGAGAGGAUGAUCAGUCACACUGGAACUGAGACACGGUCCAGACUCCUACGGGAGGCAGCAGUGGGGAAUAUUGGACAAUGGGCGAAAGCCUGAUCCAGCCAUGCCGCGUGUGUGAAGAAGGUCUUCGGAUUGUAAAGCACUUUAAGUUGGGAGGAAGGGCAGUUACCUAAUACGUAAUUGUUUUGACGUUACCGACAGAAUAAGCACCGGCUAACUCUGUGCCAGCAGCCGCGGUAAUACAGAGGGUGCAAGCGUUAAUCGGAAUUACUGGGCGUAAAGCGCGCGUAGGUGGUUUGUUAAGUUGGAUGUGAAAUCCCCGGGCUCAACCUGGGAACUGCAUUCAAAACUGACUGACUAGAGUAUGGUAGAGGGGUGGUGGAAUUUCCUGUGUAGCGGUGAAAUGCGUAGAUAUAGGAAGGAACACCAGUGGCGAAAGGCGACCACCUGGACU
rnacentral:rRNA from 1 species